AGAUCUCACGUGGGAAAUUUAUUGGAGAGAGGAUAUACAGAGAUAUACAGAGACCACCUCUGGGCGAGGGUGGAGGAAAGACGAAACCAAGUAGAGCACUGGACAGCAUUUAGUUGUAUCACUGGAACCAACAAACACGCUGCCUCAGUUGACUUCUCCAUGAAAUAACUUGGAAAAGUUACUCGGGACGCUCCGGCUACUCUUCUCUCCACUCUAUAGGCAUGGAAAUCUUGGCACGAUGAGAAUUUUCAGUAACUUUUUCUGAAGAAAUAACGUCUCAGUGCUGUUUUGCUUGGCUCAGCUCAGUAAUGCAAGAGGACACUGUACAAAGUAAACAGAAUGAAGGUUACCCUGCUGCUGAAAAUAACUGUGUCCUGACCAUCUAAUAUGUUUGAUGACAGACUAAAGAAUUGAAAUUUGCCUUUUGGGUAGAACACCUUUCUAUUUCAUGUUGAAGAUGAUUUUAUUACAAUAUUAAUUGGAGCUGGACAUUGGGUUAUAUACCUGAAGGCAGAGGUCAUAGCAUGCAAGCUUGAAUCCAGGUAUGAACAAACAAUACAAAAAAUGAAGUUGAGGUUGAGAAGGAUGCUUUAUGGUACCCAGUGUCAGGCACUAGCACAUCUACAUUCUAACCAUCAGAGGAUCUCGUCUGACAU
rnacentral:lncRNA from 1 species